rnacentral:lncRNA from 1 species
GUCAGUGAGCGAAAUCGCGAGUGAAGGCCGGUCCCUGACAGCGAGCGAAGUGAAGGUCUGUCCCUGACAGCGAGCGAAGUGAAGGCCUGUCAGCGAGUGAAAUCGCGAGUUGAAGACCGGUCACUGACCGCGAGCGAGCCCUGGCGGCGAUCGACCGAGAAAGAGUGACUGGAAGAGAGCGAGCGAGGUCACCCCAGAUCAGCUGCAC